rnacentral:lncRNA from 1 species
AGAUUUAUACAGGAGAACGGAGAAUGACUUUACCUAAAGGUAUGUGUUAUUGUUUUCUUCCUUUCUUUUUAUUCCUUUGAAAAAACCUGAAAGAGUAGAAUACUUUCUCAUCUUUCCCGCCAAGGUUUCCAUGAAAGUAACCUAUGUCUUGGUUCUUUUUUCUUUCCUGCAGUCUCUGGGGACAGAGAAAUGUAUGUGUAGAGCAUCAAACUUUUAUGAAGAAGACACUCCGUGAAGUAUCAGAGAGAUUUGAGAACUUGGAAAGUUAUUCCUAGGUAUCUCAUGAUGUUCUUCUGAGUACUUGGAACCUGUCUGCCGUGUUCCCAACCCCUGCCUCGGGCACCCUGACACAACCGGUUCCUGAUGCCCUCUAUGGAAACAGCAAAGUCCCAGCCAACAGCAUGCAUUGUUUCCAGAGCCACCGUAUCUGGGGAACCAGAGCUGCUGGUAAGGAGGAGGAGACUGAAG